UUUCCGUAGGUGAACCUGCGGAAGGAUCAUUAUCAAAAGUCAAGUCGGGGGCUGUAAAGCUCUCGUCUACACCCAUGUCUUUUGCGUACUCUUGUUUCCUCGGUGGCGCAAGCUGCCGAUUGGACAACAUUCAAACCCUUUGCAGUUGCAAUCAGCGUCUGAAAAAACAUAAUAGUUACAACUUUCAACAACGGAUCUCUUGGUUCUG
rnacentral:misc_RNA from 1 species